UGGGGAAUCUUGCACAAUGGGCGCAAGCCUGAUGCAGCAAUGCCGCGUGAGUGAAGAAGGCUUUCGAGUUGUAAAGCUCUUUCGGCUGGGAAGAAGGGUGUUAGGGCGAAUAGUCCUGAUGCUUGACGGUACCAGCAGAAGAAGCACCGGCUAACUCCGUGCCAGCAGCCGCGGUAAUACGGAGGGUGCGAGCGUUGUUCGGAAUAACUGGGCGUAGAGUGCGAGCAGGCGGAUUUGCAAGUCGAUUGUGAAAGCCCGGAGCUUAACUUCGGAAUUGCAGUCGAAACUGCUGAUCUUGAAUGCCUGAGAGGGUAGCGGAAUUCCUGGUGUAGAAGUGAAAUUCGUAGAUAUCAGGAGGAACACUUGUGGCGAAGGCGGCUACCUGGCAGUGCAUUGACGCUGAAUCGCGAAAGCGUGGGGAGCAAACAGG
rnacentral:rRNA from 1 species